GAUGAACGCUGGCGGCGUGCCUAAUACAUGCAAGUCGAGCGAACGGACGAGAAGCUUGCUUCUCUGAUGUUAGCGGCGGACGGGUGAGUAACACGUGGAUAACCUACCUAUAAGACUGGGAUAACUUCGGGAAACCGGAGCUAAUACCGGAUAAUAUUUUGAACCGCAUGGCUCAGAAGUGAAAGACGGUCUUGCUGUCACUUAUAGAUGGAUCCGCGCUGCAUUAGCUAGUUGGUAAGGUAACGGCUUACCAAGGCAACGAUGCAUAGCCGACCUGAGAGGGUGAUCGGCCACACUGGAACUGAGACACGGUCCAGACUCCUACGGGAGGCAGCAGUAGGGAAUCUUCCGCAAUGGGCGAAAGCCUGACGGAGCAACGCCGCGUGAGUGAUGAAGGUCUUCGGAUCGUAAAACUCUGUUAUUAGGGAAGAACAUAUGUGUAAGUAACUGUGCACAUCUUGACGGUACCUAAUCAGAAAGCCACGGCUAACUACGUGCCAGCAGCCGCGGUAAUACGUANGUGGCAAGCGUUAUCCGGAAAUAUUGGGCGUNAAGCGCGCGUAGCGGUUUUUUAGUCUGAUGUGAAAGCCCACGGCUCAACCGUGGAGGGUCAUUGGAAACUGGAAAACUUGAGUGCAGAAGAGGAAAGUGGAAUUCCAUGUGUAGCGGUGAAAUGCGCAGAGAUAUGGAGGAACACCAGUGGCGAAGGCGACUUUCUGGUCUGUAACUGACGCUGAUGUGCGAAAGCGUGGGGAUCAAACAGGAUUAGAUACCCUGGUAGUCCACGCCGUAAACGAUGAGUGCUAAGUGUUAGGGGGUUUCCGCCCCUUAGUGCUGCAGCUAACGCAUUAAGCACUCCGCCUGGGGAGUACGACCGCAAGGUUGAAACUCAAAGGAAUUGACGGGGACCCGCACAAGCGGUGGAGCAUGUGGUUUAAUUCGAAGCAACACGAAGAACCUUACCAAAUCUUGACAUCCUUUGACAACUCUAGAGAUAGAGCCUUCCCCUUCGGGGGACAAAGUGACAGGUGGUGCAUGGUUGUCGUCAGCUCGUGUCGUGAGAUGUUGGGUUAAGUCCCGCAACGAGCGCAACCCUUAAGCUUAGUUGCCGUCAUUAAGUUGGGCACUCUAAGUUGACUGCCGGUGACAAGCCGGAGGAAGGUGGGGAUGACGUCAAAUCAUCAUGCCCCUUAUGAUUUGGGCUACACACGUGCUACAAUGGACAAUACAAAGGGCAGCGAAACCGCGAGGUCAAGCAAAUCCCAUAAAGUUGUUCUCAGUUCGGAUUGUAGUCUGCAACUCGACUACGUGAAGCUGGAAUCGCUAGUAAUCGUAGAUCAGCAUGCUACGGUGAAUACGUUCCCGGGUCU
rnacentral:rRNA from 1 species